CGGUGUUUCUGUCGGGUUCAGAAUAAACCCGUAUGCCAGGAAACAGGAAAUUGGCCUUUCUCUUUCGGAUCGAGUUCUUGUCGGAUUCAAACCAAACCCGCACCGUUAAAUAUCGUGUUCAAGGUGUACUCGAUCUUUCGAGCAGCGCCGGCGAAGCAGCAAGCCAAGAAACGAGGGCCUCCCCAAGGUGUGAUAAAGAAGAUAUCUCUCGCUCACGUUUUGUCCUUUGUUUGGAGGUGCUAUCGAUCUAGGAUUAGGGGUUCAACUCGAGGGAUCUCACUUGGGUUCCUGCCCCGAUUCGCCGUCCCAUUAGGGUUCGACUUCGACCCCCACCUCGUGUUGGGCGGAACUUAGGUUCCUUCGGCUCGAUCGUGGCUUGCUUCUCACGCUAAGAACGCUUAGGAUUGGGCCGAAGAGCAAUUAAGGUCAAUGUGCAUGGGUGUCCACAUUCUAUUUCGAGGCUACAUUGGAGGAGCACAGAGCCUACAACACAACUCUGGUAUGAGUCAUUUUCCAGGAGGAUUAGAUUCUUUCCAGCCUGGUGAAGAACAUCAAUAUAUGCCUUCUAAAGAAGAGGGACAAUGGCAGUGGAAUAGAAAUGACCCAAAGGGAUCAAAUCAUCUAUCUCAACUGUAUAAAGAAGGCCAAUAAAGACCCAAGAGCACUAGCUUAUGAGGAUUAGCUGGAGGCCAGAUUUGAGGAUAGCACUCUUCCUCAAACUUUUGAAGGUCUUGAACAAAAAUUUCUUUAUGAUAUUAUGAACUUGACCAAGGAGCAGCAGGAAGCAGAGGACAGAGAGAAUGCUAGACAUCGAGAGUAUCCUGGUGGUCGUGGCUUUGGUUCUCAUGAUCAUUAUCCUGGUGGUCGAGCUUAUAACUCCAGAGGCCGACAUUUUUGAGCAAAGUUGCAAAAAUGUUUCUCCUCAUCCUUUGGCCUGUCAUCACUGCUUGACAACAUUAUUCUGAAGACUCGUAUGUCAGUAGUAUUGAUGAAGCACAAAUAGCGUUUCUCUAAGCGGCAACUGUUCUGCUGAAUGCCGAUCAUGUCUGGAUAUGGGUGUGUAGCAGUGUAGUGGAUAAUCUUCAAAAUUUUCUUAGUGUAUUUCACUGUGAAUUACUUCAAUAUCAUCACCUCGAUCAAUAUAUUUGUUCUGAACAUGGUGGCAACAGAGCUCUAGACCUCCUCAUCAUAAUUCUGGGCAGGCUUAGCUUCAGUUUGAGAUUUUCUCGAAUGAUCAUCAGGCAGUGUUUCUUUCACAGGUGUUAAAUGCAACAGACCUUAUGAUUUUUUUUUGGGUUUAUAUUAUUAAUUUGAAUAUGUGAGCUUCCAGUUCAUCUGCUUGGGUUAUUAUCUAUUUAUCUUUAUUUAUCCUGUUACUUUUUGCCUUUUGACAAUCAUAUUUUUUUUGACUCAGGACAGUCGUGAGCAUGCUGGUUGAUCUUAAUAUAUCAGCACUCAACCUUCGUCAAGGCAAAAUUUCAUAUACGCCAGUGAAAGACCAGUCUUCUAUUUGCGCUUUCAAGAGUGUAAUUAUCAAAUUUGUCCCUCAUGGAGCUAUAAAUUCUUUUGUCACUGGUAUAUUCAUGGUGGAUGCCUUUGAACUCAGUGUGCUACCAUCAACCAUAUCUACCCCUAAAAUAAGGUACAUGUGAUAUUUUAUAUAUGUUGGAAUAUUAUAUUUACUCUUUCUGGUAUGCUGCAUGAUGACUCAUAAUUUCAUCGAAGCCCUUGCCAAGUAUUUUUUAUCAUAUGUGCCCUUUGUAACAUAAUAAAAUGUUCAUAAAUGACAUUUUCCAUGGGUACUGAUGAUAUUUAUAGAAUUUAAGAAUGUCCUCAUCAAGUGUCACAGCUGUUACAUUUUUGAAAAUUUUACAUGUGGACAUUUUCAUAUUUUGAAGAGGAUAUGAUAUUUACUCUUUCUGUAUAUGCUGCAUGAUGCUUAUAAUUUCACCAAAGCCCCUGCCAAGUAAUUUGUUUCAUAUAUGCCCCUUGGAACAUCAGAAAAUGCUCAUAAAUUACAUUUUUCAGGGAUAGAAUGUCUGCUUCAAGUGUUACAUAUUUGAAAAUUCUACAUGUGAUAUUUUUCAUAUUUUGAUGGGAAUAUGAUAUUUACUCUAUGCAUACGCUGCAUGAUGAACCCCACCCUGCCAAGUAAUAUUUUAUCUUCAUAUAUGCCCCUUGAUACAUCAUAGAUUUUUGGAAUGAUUGUUGAGUUUUAGAACGUCCUCUUCAAGUGUAACAAAAUUUAUGUACUGGUUUUUCUUUUCCAUUUAAGUAGCUAAGAUUUCUCCAAUAGAUUAAAGAUCUGGGAACCAAGUUUUCCACAUUGAUCACAGUAUCAAGUUGGUCAUUCAGUGGUGGUUAUGCUCACUGCACUAGUUAGGUAAUCCUUGAUUCGAUUGAAGAGGUCUGCAUGUUUGCUUGAUUUUUGUUGUCAUAUUCUGUAUAUGU